UGAGUGAGUGAGUGAGUGAGUGAGUGAGUGAGUGAGUGAGUGUGAGACAGAGUGAAUGAGUGAGUGAGUGAGUGGGUGUGAGACAGAGUGAGUGAGUGAGUGAGUGAUGAGUGUGAGACAGAGUGAGUGAGUGAGUGAGUGAGUGAGUGAGUGAGUGAGUGAGUGAUGAGUGAGUGAGUGAGUGAGUGAGUGAGUGAGGACUGGACCCUCAGCCACAGUCCAGUCCAGCUUCCUUCCCAGUGCUGCUCAGAUCGGCUGUGGUG